rnacentral:lncRNA from 1 species
AUGGGCUCACUCCAGCUGUCCCUGCCUGGUUCUCUGGAGUUGGCACUCCUACCUUCAAUGCAUCGAUUUGAAUCAUUAUUUCCAAACCCAGACGUCUGACUGCCAGCUGUGUCUACUUAUUUUUACUAUCCCUUAUACAGGCUGUUGCCUAUAAGUCUUCAGAAGCUUGGCGAUGGCUUUCUUUGACUUUCUUUAUUGAUGACUGCCCAGAAGGGCCCACACCGGUGUGAGUGGUACAGGGGAUGCAGGGAACGCAAGCCCAGGCAACCCCCCUCCCACGAGCCUCCCUACAAUUCCAGCAGUCUGUCCUGCCCCCCUAUCUGGAGUAGCCAAGAACUUAGGUUUGUGCUGAGCAUUUUUGAAGAGGCAGCAGGAAGGCCAGAAGCACAUCCUGCUAUCACAAAAUAAUACUCCAUCUUUCAGGAUCGUGAAAAUUUGAGUUAUAAAUUACGUGAUACAGAUUCUAAAUUAUGCAAGACUUCACAAGAGGUCAGGUGAAGGCUGGAUGGCCUCAGAAGGAUGGCUUCAGAAGGCCUUCAGAAGGAUUGCUACAAUUCAUCAUGCACAAGGUGUUGAGGGUCUGGAGCAGGGAAGGAAUCGGGGGCAUCUGAAUGGAGAAAUGGGGACUUGAUGGAGGAUUCAUGAAAUGAUUUUUAGGAUACUUGAGGGCUUGGGAGGAAUACACACAGUCUGGAAAGUCCCCCUGCUUAAGGGUGCCACAAUCCAGCUCCCGGAGGCAUCCAGAUGAAGCAAAAGGCAGCUGGAGAACAAAUACAAAAAUCUUAAUUAAAAGACCGUUUUGUGAGGUCUUCAACUUCUUCUCCAUUUCACCAACACGCUGCACAGUCUGUGUAUUCAGCGUCACCAAAGAGAUUUUUAAUUCAUCAGCCUGGUUUUUGUGGAUUGUUCGUUGCCUUCUCAGUGCUGUAACACAUAGAGACACUGGUACAGGCAUUAGGAAGGAUGGGAGAAGAUACCAAAUGGUAUAAGACAUGGUCUGGUAUUUCCAGGGAUAGGAUCAUCCAUUUAGGAAAACAGCUACAUAGAGACAUGCACAACAUUACAAAGAAACUCGAGAAAUUUCACAGAAAACAGCACAUAAUCAAUUGUCAAGUGGGAUCCCUGGAUAGUAACUUCAGGAAAGAGGAAUGUCUGUGAGUGAGCACACCAAGGCCAGGGCACGAGACGCCAGGGCUCCCUGCUGACAGUAGGAUAAUGCACUUCUCUGCUCAUCUCCUAACCACACUUGGAAAAGCCAUCCAAGCCAAGGCGAUUGUGAUGGUGCAGAUUCCAACUGCUGAGGAAGAACACCCUGGCUGGUGACUUUGCCCCUAGUCCUUGUCUAUCUAGUCCUCACAAACAUUAAUCUUCAAUGUUGUAUACAAAAGCAGACAGAAUUCUGCAUUUCAAGGACUCUAUUUCUGUCUUAAAAGUGGCAUGCAGGCUUGGAGGAUGCCAAAGAACAAAAAAUGCCAUGCAGAAUACUAGAGAGGGAUUUUAUUUGCAUUAAAUGAAAAAGAAUGAGUUCUCCAUCAAUGCCCUACUUCUUUCUUCAUAUACCACAUUCCCACCCACUCCUAUUCUAUUCCAGACCCUCACCACCUUGUGACAUAUAUUGCCACAACCCUUCUGAAAGCCUCCCUCAUCGGAAAAUCCAAAAUCUGAAAUGCUUCAAAUCUGAAGGUUUCUGAGCACCGACAAGACCCAAGUGGAAAAUUUCACACCGGACCUCAUUUGAUGCGUCACAGUCAAAACGUAGUCAAAGCUUUGUUACAUGCACAAAAUUCUUUAAAAUAUUGUAGAAAAUUA